UACGUAGGGUGCGAGCGUUAAUCGGAAUUACUGGGCGUAAAGCGUGCGCAGGCGGUUUUGUAAGCCAGAUGUGAAAUCCCCGGGCUUAACCUGGGAAUGGCAUUUGGGACUGCAAGGCUGGAGUUUGGCAGAGGAGACUGGAAUUCCUGGUGUAGCAGUGAAAUGCGUAGAUAUCGGGAGGAACACCUGCGGUGUAGACGGCUUACUGGACCGUGACUGACGCUGAGGCACGAAAGCGUGGGUAGCAAACAGG
rnacentral:rRNA from 1 species